rnacentral:rRNA from 1 species
AUUGAACGCUGGCAGCAGGCUCAACACAUGCAAGUCGAGCGGGGUGAUGGUGCUUGCACUAUCACUUAGCGGCGGACGGGUGAGUAAUGCUUAGGAAUCUGCCUAUUAGUGGGGGACAACAUCUCGAAAGGGAUGCUAAUACCGCAUACGUCCUACGGGAGAAGGCAGGGGAUCACUUGUGACCUUGCGCUAAUAGAUGAGCCUAAGUCGGAUUAGCUAGUUGGUGGGGUAAAGGCCUACCAAGGCGACGAUCUGUAGCGGGUCUGAGAGGAUGAUCCGCCACACUGGGACUGAGACACGGCCCAGACUCCUACGGGAGGCAGCAGUGGGGAAUAUUGGACAAUGGGGGGAACCCUGAUCCAGCCAUGCCGCGUGUGUGAAGAAGGCCUUAUGGUUGUAAAGCACUUUAAGCGAGGAGGAGGCUCUUUUGGUUAAUACCCAAGAUGAGUGGACGUUACUCGCAGAAUAAGCACCGGCUAACUCUGUGCCAGCCGCCGCCGUAA